UGAUGCAAAUGGAGCAGUCGUGUUUUAAGGUACAGACUUUGAGUCUAUUCUAGGCAUCAAUUUUCGUAUCUUUUAAUUCGUCUGGCGCCAACAGCAACAG
rnacentral:ncRNA from 2 species